rnacentral:rRNA from 1 species
AUUGAACGCUGGCGGCAUGCCUUACACAUGCAAGUCGAACGGUAACAGGUCUUCGGAUGCUGACGAGUGGCGAACGGGUGAGUAAUACAUCGGAACGUGCCUAGUAGUGGGGGAUAACUACUCGAAAGAGUGGCUAAUACCGCAUGAGAUCUACGGAUGAAAGCAGGGGAUCGCAAGACCUUGUGCUACUAGAGCGGACGAUGGCAGAUUAGGUAGUUGGUGGGAUAAAAGCUUACCAAGCCGACGAUCUGUAGCUGGUCUGAGAGGACGAUCAGCCACACUGGGACUGAGACACGGCCCAGACUCCUACGGGAGGCAGCAGUGGGGAAUUUUGGACAAUGGGCGAAAGCCUGAUCCAGCAAUGCCGCGUGGAGGAUGAAGGCCUUCGGGUUGUAAACUGCUUUUGUACGGAACGAAAAGUCCCGGGUUAAUACCCUGGGGUCAUGACGGUACCGUAAGAAUAAGCACCGGCUAACUACGUGCCAGCCGCCGCAGUAA